rnacentral:rRNA from 1 species
AGAAAAGCGAGAAAAGUGCAUACGGAGGAUGCCUGGGCUUCCAAGAGCGAUGAAGGACGCGGCAAGCUGCGAAAAAGUGCGGGGAUCUGCAAACGAGAUUAGAUCCGCACGUGUCCGAAUGGGGGAACCCGCCAUGUUGAAGGCAUGGCACAUGGCUUAAGUCAUGAGCAUACGCAGGGAACUGAAACAUCUUAUUACCUGCAGAAAGAGAAAGAAAGAUCGAUUCCCGGAGUAGUGGCGAGCGAAAUGGGAAGAGCCCAAACCGUGUAUGUUUCGGCAUAUGCGGGGUAGUAGGACCGGACAUAUGGAAUGACGGAAAGAACCGGAACCGGCUGGGAAGCCGGACCGCAGAGGGUGACAGUCCCGUAGGGGUAGUUAUCCGCGAUUCCGUCCGGCACCUGAGUAUGACGGGACACGAGCAAUCCUGUCAGAAUCCGCGGGGUCCAUCCCGCAAGGCUAAAUAGAAUUGGAAGACCGAUAGUGAACCAGUACUGUGAAGGAAAGGUGAAAAGGACCGUGAACAACGGAGUGAAAAAGAACCUGAAACCGUAUGCAUACAAGCGGUCGGAGUCCCUUUAUGGGAUGACGGCGUGCCUUUUGGAUAAUGAGCCUACGAGUUGAUAUAUCCGGCGAGGUUAAGCACUUCAGGUGCGCAUCCGAAGCGAAAGCGAGUGUGAAGAGCGCGCAGAGUCGGUUGUAUCAGACGCGAAACCUAGUGAUCUACCGUUGACCAGGUUGAAGUUACCGUAACGGGUAAUGGAGGACCGCACCGGUAUCCGUUGAAAAGGAUUCGGAUGAGUUGAGGGUAGGGGUGAAAGGCCAAUCAAACUGGGAGAUAGCUCGUACUCCCCGAAAUGUCUUUAGGGACAGCCUCACUGUAGUAUGCCGGAGGUAGAGCUACUGAUAUGAUGCGAGGGCUUCACCGCCUAUCAAAUUGUGACAAACUCCGAAUGCCGGCAUAUGAUUGGUGUGAGUGAGUCGCCGGGUGCUAAUGUCCGGUGGCAAAAGGGAAACAGCCCGGACCAUCAUCUAAGGCCCCGAAACGUGUGAUAAGUUGUAAAAACGAUGUCAGGUAGCAGAGACAGCUAGGAUGUUAGCUUGGAAGCAGCUAUUCAUUUAAAGAGUGCGUAACAGCUCACUAGUCGAGCGACCCGGCGUGGAUAAUAAUCGGGCAUAAAUCACACUGCCGAAGGUGUGGACUGAAUAUAAUCAGUGGUAGGGGAGCAUUUCAACCGGCGAAGAAGCGGCAGCGCGAGCGGCCGUGGAGCGAUUGAAAAUGAAGAUGUAGGCAUAAGUAACGACAAUGCGGAUGAGAAAUUUGCACACCGAAACCCCCAGGUUUCCUGAUCAACGUUAAUCGGAUCAGGGUAAGUCGGGUCCUAAGGCGGAGCCGAAAGGUGCAGCCGAUGGCCAAAUGGUUAAUAUUCCAUUACCCGUGACGGACUAUAUGAGGAGAGACGGAGUAGUGACACAUACGCCGGCAGACGGAAAAGCCGGUUGAAUGGCAAAGGUAGACGGUGCCGUUAAGAGCGGUCCGUGCCGAAGCCAGAAAGUACGGCGAGUCUACGGACGAGCCGAUAGUUAUGGUAAUCAGACUUCCAAGAAAAUCUUCGCAAUCAACUACCGUCACGGCCCGUACCGUAAACCGACACAGGUGGGGAGGGAGAGAAUCCCGAGGUGCUCGAGUGAAUCAUGGCUAAGGAAUUCGGCAAAAUGACCCCGUAACUUAGGGAGAAGGGGUCCCGCGAAAGCGGGCGCAGUGAAGAGGUCCAGGCGACUGUUUACCAAAAACACAUGGCUUUGCGAAAUCGAAAGAUGACGAAUAAGGCCUGACACCUGCCCGGUGCCGGAAGGUUAAGAGGGGAUGUUAGUCGGAAUGCGAAUGAAGACGAAGCAUUGAAUUGAAGCCCCGGUAAACGGCGGCCGUAACUAUAACGGUCCUAAGGU